UGAAGGACUUGUGAAAAUUUUUAAAUCAUAAAUAACGUCAUAAAUAAAUCUUAAAAUCAGGGCACAUGGAGCGUCAUGAGAUCGACAUGUUUGACGAGUCCGGCAAGCUACUCGAGAAGCGCGAGCAGGGAUAUAGAUAUUCAAAGUGAUCAAAGAUAUUAAAAUAUAAGCUAUUAUUAACUUAUUAUUAUAUAUAUAUAUCAACAUAUAUACAAAUAUGUAUUAAAUAAAAUAUACAGGCUGUCUCUAAAAUCGUCGUACAAACGGUCGUAUGCAAUGUAUAAUUAUAUAAUAAAAUGUGAAAAAAAUCGCUUUAUUUUCUAAAAAGACAAAAAUUACCUGAAACUGGGAUUCUUGAUACAUGCAACAAUCACUAACAUUUGGCCCGUAUAUAUUACAAAGUCGUUUUCCUAUUGCAUCGUACACCGUAAAACUGGAACCUAUUAUAUGCAAAUUUUGUCCUAUUGUGCCAAUUAAAUUUGGGCUUAGCACCGACAUACUCUGUACAAUGAAAUUUUCAUCUUUUUGUUAUAUGGAAGAUGAUAUACAUACCUUGUGGUUGUGCCGUAAUGACGGUUGGCCCCGAAAGGACAGGAACUGUAUUGGAUACCGAAUUCUGUUGCAUUUCUAUAUACUGGGUGGUUACCUGGUUUG